AUGUACAAGUUUCAUUUCAAGCCUUUAUCAAAGCUACAAGAAAACCUAAAGGUAAAACAUGAGCCAAGUUGUUCAACUUCAAUGAUCUUCAUGACCAAAACUCAAGAUAUGUCGCAUCUUUGCCUCGUCAACAUGCUCAGCCUUGAAUUAUCCAUGCUUUCAAAUUGCUUCAAAUCUGCCUACUGUACCAAACAACCAAAAGAAAACUUCAAAAUCCAUCUGUGGCAUUAUCUAAAAUAA